CCCACACUAAAAUGAUGACAGGUGUUUCAGUUUCACUGUCCAACCCCUGUAUUUCACAACUAUGUUCAACAGACCUUUCUGAAACAGUCAAUUUGUGCAUACUAACAUGUGCCUAUAGAUUUCUUCAGCUGAUAUGAUUGAACUGAAGACAAGACCGGACACAGAGGCAGCAUCUUCUGAUCCAGGUAGGAAACAAAAUGUAGACUAUGUUUUCCCCAUCACAGAAUUUCAUUUUCUGAGCUUGUUUAUUGUAUAUAUGGUGUGUGUUCAAUAUUCUUUCAGUUCCCCAGUCCAGUACAGCUCCCUGUGUGAGUGAGGAGGACCUGGCAAAGCUUUUGGCCCUGACUCCCCUCACUAAAACUCUGCAGGAUAUACAGCAGUCCCUGCAAGCACUGAACGAUACGCCCCACGCAGAAGAAGAACCUAGAGCAUCAUCUGAGGACACGGAGGAGAGGCAGCAGGCGCACCUGAUCCCCGUUGCCCUUGACAACCUGUCUCCACGGAGCUUCGCUGUCUUCCUGUUUGGUUGCCAUGUAGUGAGGCUGCUGAGCCGAGCCUGCGGCUUCCCCGCCGUGAUGCUGCUGCUGGCUAAAACCCUGCCGGUUACUCAAACCGACUCCCUGCUGAACUACUGUAACCGAGAGUUUUACUACGACACAUCCAACCAGAUACUGUACAUCCUCCACAGCAACCUGCAAAACGCCGGACACUUCAUCUCUGUCCUCUUACACGCUCUGGCUUAUAUUACUUCAGGCUCUGCUCCUCGAGACUUCAUCAGAUCCCUCCACCUGGCUGUAUCUGCUCUGAGCUUGCAGUUAUUCCAUCUCUCCUUCACUCAGGAGCAGCAGGAAGGAAAGAUGGAUGAAGAGAGAUCACAGCUUGCCUUUGGGACGUUGGUGGAGGACUUCCUCAGUGUUAAAGUUUCUACUGAAACUCAAUUCACCCCAAGUCUACUGGCUGAAAGGCUCCAAAAGUACAAGUACUUCAAGUUGGAGCAGCUCCUUCAAGAACUGAAACCACCUCCAUCGAGCCGACCCACAGAAGGUUCUAGCCCCACAAAUCUCAAACUCCCGGUGCAGGAGCAGGUGUUGAUGUUGAAGCUCCAGCAGGUCACAGUAGAGCAGAGACUGAGGGAGAUGAAGGAGAGGUUGAGUAAACUCAGCUCAGAUAAAGAGCGAUCUGAGCGAAAUGAACAGUCCGUGUCUGAAAGCACAGAGCAGCAGAUACAUAAAGACAGCCUGGCCUUCAGUAAACACACACAGCUGAACAAUGGAGCCGAUAACCAGACAGACGCCAGCGAGCAGCUCCCCAGCAAGAAACAACACAGCAGACAUAUGGAUGACGUAGCGCUGGAGAAAAGGAUGUUAUAGCCUGAGGCAGAUUCACUCUUCCUGUUUUGUUCCUGUGUUGUUUACUCACUCUACUCUCAUAAAAUAGCAAUGAAUUAUCUUCUAUAGAGACACAGUAUCAUAUUUUUUGGUUGUUUUUCCCUUUUUGGCACUUCUUGGGUUUUACCCUGUGGUGGAUUUUUAUUUUCUGGACCUGAGCUACCCACCUCUGUGUGUAACUAUAGGUUUAAAUAGGAUCUCCGGUGGAUUUUGUGUUUUACAGAGACUAUAAGCCUAGGUCAGUGUAGGCUGAACUGGACUUAUUAGGACAUUAUUACACAUGUUGUAAAGUAACAUAUGAAAUUGCAAAGACUGUUAUUAGUGUAAAAAUGUCUUUAUUUUAAAGCGUUUCCAACUGUUGUCCGUCUCUCUGCCUCCUGGUGUUGCAGUUCUGUUAGCCAAUCAGAGGCAAUAUGUUUGCAUAUAUGAAAAUUCAUGAGCAAGACCUGAAAUCCUAUUGCCCCCCCCCCCCCCAGAAUUGUACCAGAAUGUCAUGUUCAGUUAUGUCAGUAAUGAGUAACUUAGGCUAUGUUCACUGUUUGUCAUUUUCCUUUGUAAAAAGAUAUUAUAGCGUCCGAAUGGACAUAUUGAAACGCAGUGUAUUCUGGGAAUUGUAGUGUGGACCACUCGUUUUAUUUUCAUGUCAUGACCAAGCAGGCUACAAUAAAUGCCCAGUACUUUACUUUAACA
rnacentral:lncRNA from 1 species